GACAUGUUGGAAAGAUCAGAGGUGAUGUGAUGGGAGGCACCAGAGUCCAGGAUCCAAUCGGAUGCAGAUGGAGUCGUCGGAGAGUGAUGGGUUGUAUGAGCAGCCGGAUAAGGCGGUGAAGCAUAAGCUGGUCGCGACAGUGGUCCACCAUAAGGGGGAUGAUUGGCGCCGGAGAUGGGAUAGGACGGACAGCGGCACGCGGAGUGGCCAAAUUCACUGCAG
rnacentral:lncRNA from 1 species